AUAUGUGUCUGCUUGAAACCAAUGAAAUGGAAGAUUCGAUAAAUUUUUAGGAGACAAUAUAAUUAAGUCUGAGGCAAGAAGGAGAUAUCACAGGUCAAGGAAGAAGCUAAGAUAAUGACCGGCUCAUCUUCAUGGGACCAAUUCAAGUUUCUAGUUCGCAGAAACAACAACCAGCCCACCACCAGCAUGACGGAAAACGUUCCUACUAUAUGCAAAUUUCCUGUAAUCUUAUUUGCAGUCUCAGUCCUAUUCUGUUUCGUUUCCUUUGUAUUAUGUAUUGUGGCUGAGAUCCUCAGGAAUAAGGAAGAUGAGAUCAGAUGGAACGGAAGGCUGUGUCAUGCACCAUGUUUCGUAUAUUCAUAUAUUGUGGCAGGGUGGGCUGUUUGGUUGCAAUAAUAAUAUUAACAGUGGCGAUAAGCAUGAGUGGGGAGCAGAAUUACGGAGAAGGAUGGUUGGAAGGGGACUGUUACGUCGUCAAACCUGGCUGUUUUGCUGGCUCUUCCAUUUUGCUUCUUCUUUCCCUGGCUUCCAUAUCUGCUUCUUCUUUCUCCACCAUUCAAAUACAUCCUAAUUAAUUCAUUUACUUCUUUAUAUAAAUAUAUAUAUAUAUUAUUUUAAA